GACGAACGCUGGCGGCGUGCCUAAUACAUGCAAGUCGAGCGGAGGUUGAAGAGCUUGCUCUUCAACUUUAGCGGCGGACGGGUGAGUAACACGUGGGCAACCUGCCCUGCAGAUCGGGAUAACUCCGGGAAACCGGUGCUAAUACCGAAUAGUUUUCGCCACCUCCUGGUGGCGUACGGAAAGACGGUUUCGGCUGUCACUGCAGGAUGGGCCCGCGGCGCAUUAGCUAGUUGGUGGGGUAACGGCCCACCAAGGCAACGAUGCGUAGCCGACCUGAGAGGGUGAUCGGCCACACUGGGACUAAGACACGGCCCAGACUCCUACGGGAGGCAGCAGUAGGGAAUCUUCCGCAAUGGACGAAAGUCUGACGGAGCAACGCCGCGUGAGUGACGAAGGUUUUCGGAUCGUAAAACUCUGUUGUGAGGGAAGAACAAGUACCACUUAACUACUGGUACCUUGACGGUACCUCACCAGAAAGCCACGGCUAACUACGUGCCAGCAGCCGCGGUAACAC
rnacentral:rRNA from 1 species